rnacentral:rRNA from 1 species
AGUGAACGCUGGCGGUAGGCCUAACACAUGCAAGUCGAACGGCAGCACAGUAAGGGCUUGCUCUUACGGGUGGCGAGUGGCGGACGGGUGAGGAAUACAUCGGAAUCUACUUUUUCGUGGGGGAUAACGUAGGGAAACUUACGCUAAUACCGCAUACGACCUACGGGUGAAAGCAGGGGAUCUUCGGACCUUGCGCGAUUGAAUGAGCCGAUGUCGGAUUAGCUAGUUGGCGGGGUAAAGGCCCACCAAGGCGACGAUCCGUAGCUGGUCUGAGAGGAUGAUCACCCACACUGGAACUGAGACACGGUCCAGACUCCUACGGGAGGCAGCAGUGGGGAAUAUUGGACAAUGGGCGCAAGCCUGAUCCAGCCAUACCGCGUGGGUGAAGAAGGCCUUCGGGUUGUAAAGCCCUUUUGUUGGGAAAGAAAAGCAGCAGGUUAAUACCCCGCUGUUCUGACGGUACCCAAAGAAUAAGCACCGGCUAACUUCGUG